rnacentral:rRNA from 1 species
GACGAACCGUGCGAACGUUGUUCGGAAUCACUGGGCUUAAAGGGCGCGUAGGCGGGCAGCCAAGUCAGGGGUGAAAUCUUUCGGCUCAACCGGAAAAGUGCCUCUGAUACUGGUCGCCUCGAGGGAGGUAGGGGUCUGCGGAACUUCCGGUGGAGCGGUGAAAUGCGUAGAUAUCGGAAGGAACGCCGGUGGCGAAAGCGGCGGACUGGACCUCUUCUGACGCUGAGGCGCGAAAGCCAGGGGAGCAAACGGG